AUUGAACGCUGGCGGAAUGCUUUACACAUGCAAGUCGAACGGCAGCACGGACUUCGGUCUGGUGGCGAGUGGCGAACGGGUGAGUAAUGUAUCGGAACGUGCCCAGUCGUGGGGGAUAACGUAGUGAAAAUUACGCUAAUACCGCAUACGAUCUAUGGAUGAAAGCGGGGGAUCGCAAGACCUCGCGCGAUUGGAGCGGCCGAUAUCGGAUUAGGUAGUUGGUGGGGUAAAGGCCCACCAAGCCAACGAUCUGUAGCUGGUCUGAGAGGACGACCAGCCACACUGGAACUGAGACACGGUCCAGACUCCUACGGGAGGCAGCAGUGGGGAAUUUUGGGCAAUGGGCGCAAGCCUGAUCCAGCCAUUCCGCGUGCAGGAUGAAGGCCCUCGGGUUGUAAACUGCUUUUGUACAGAACGAAAAGGUUUCUACUAAUACUAGGAGCUCAUGACGGUACUGUAAGAAUAAGCACCGGCUAACUACGUGCCAGCAGCCGCCGUAA
rnacentral:rRNA from 1 species